ensembl:lncRNA
CUCAUAUUUGAGCGAGGAGAAAUGGGAAGUUUUCUCUUUUUCCCCUUGGCUCCUGCUCCAGCGCCACGAUGUGAUCCACUGACAAGGAGGGAUGCCAAUAAGAAAAUAAAAAGCUAUGGAUUCCUUCCAGACUAUUAUGGUUUGAUCAAACAAGACCCCCUAAAGCUAAGACGAUACAGCCUUACUGACUACAAAAACAAAGACUUGUGAGACACAACUGCUCCUGGCACACCAAUUAUGUCAAAAAGGAGGAUGGGCAUCGAAGAAACUCAUUAUGGAGUUUGCUUUCAACAUGGCAAGAUUAGCCAUUUGGGCAAGAAACUGCUCUUGCCUGGACUGUUUGUUGCUGCAUAAACUAGACAUACAGGACCCACAAGAAAGUGACUGCUGAACUUACAAAACAAGACAGUACUGAAGGGUUCCUGUUAAAAUGGAGAAGUGUGCCAGACACAAUGUGGCCUAUAGGCUGAAGAUGGAUGCCCCAACGUUACAGAGGAACUUUGGGUGACGGUCCAGGCAAACGGAUGGAACUAGAAGAAACCAUCCUGAGUGAGGUGACCCAGUCAAAAACAGACAAACAUGAGCCCUCAUCCAGUGGCUGAUGGAAGCAGAGGCAGACACCCACAGCUAAACACCAUGCUUAACUCUGGAACCCAAAGGCACAGAGGAAGGAGUGAAGAGCAACAAGGUCAAGACCAGGCUGGUGAAACCCACAGAAACAGCUAACCUGAACAAGGAGGAGUGCGUGGACCCCAGACUGAUGUCAGGGAGGCCAGCACAGAACUUAUACAGACCCCUGAAUUGUGGAUGUAAAUGAGGAGGCCUCGGCAUUCUAUGGGACCUCUGGCAGAAGAUUUGUGCCUAGCCCAUGUGUCUUCAGAGAGACUUCAUCCAGAAACUGAUGGAAAUAGAGGUGGAGACCCACAGUCAAACAUUAGGUCGAGCGCAGGAAAUCCUAUGGAAGAGGUGGAAGAUGGAUUGUAGGAGCUAAUGCUGUCAAGAACAUCACAAGAAAACCCACAGAAUCAACUAACCUGGGAUCAUAGGAGCUCAUAGAGACUGAAUCCAUAACCAGAGAUCUGCAUGGGCCAGAGCUAGGCCCUCUGCAUAUAUGUGACAGUUGUAUAGCUUGGUCUCUUGUAGGAUUGCUAACAGUGAAAACAGGAGCUAUACUUAAUGCUUUGGUUGGCUUUUGGGAUCCUAUUCCUCAUACUGGGUUGCCUUAUACAGCCUUAAUACAAGGGGAGGUGCUUAGUCUUACUGCAACUUGGCACACCAAACUUUUCUGACAUCCAUUGGAGGCCUGCCCUUUUUGAGUAGAAACAGAGGAGGACUGAAUGGGAGAGGGGCAGAGGGGAGUUUUAUGGUAGGGACUGGUAGGAGAGGAGGGAGGGGAAACUGAGGUUGGGAUGUAAAAUAAAGGAAUGAAUUAGCUAAAAACUUGUUUGAAGUGACACUAGCCCACUGAAGCAUGUGGCUGUGGCAGGCCUUGCUCUUCUCUCCCAAUUCCUUCUGCCUUGCUAAAAAACAAACAAACAAAACAAAACAAAAAGUUAGAUUAUAUCCCUAAAGUUAGCCACCAAGGUCUAUUCCCUUAUUUGGCCACUACCUCCUCCUGAGGUUGACUACCAAAGUCCAGCAAUCGGAAUCCCCCUUCUUACCUAAGUAACAUGCCCAAUUAAAACUAAACACCUCAUCCUAACUGAGGGUUUCCUAUGUGCCUAUGUGCCAUAUCUGUCUCCUCUGUUAUCCACAGGCAGUCCUUUGUCCCUCAUGGAACAAAUAGCUCUGUCCUCUUUCUGUUGUCCCCUUCCCCUCUCCCUCUCCCCUGUGUUUUUACCACCACUUCCGAGCCCAUUUUCACACAGACCUCCCCUUUUCCCCCUCUUGAGAAUUACACUGCAAGGCCAUUUGCUGCUAUUUUCUGCCUGAGUCAGAAAGCAGCCACUUUUGCUUUGCUUCACCACUUAAAGGAUCUCUCUGUGAAAACGGGUGUUUUGGCUGUGGUUUGUGCCUAACCCGGGGUCCAAGAAGGAGGCUCUGCUGUGUGGGAGUCCCUUUCAGAGUUGCCAUGGUAAUAUUGUCUCUUCACAGCAAUAAAACAGUGACCAAGACACUCAUGAUCCUCCUGCUCUACCUUCAUGAGUCCUGGGAUUACAAGUAUGUACAGACUCAGUUGUAACUUUACAUUCUAAGCCUCACAAUGUAUCCACAUGGCCUCUAGUCAACUAGACCUAUUCAGAUAUGGAAAGUCCUUGGCUUCAGAAUCAUUUGCCUUGUUUUAUGCCCUAAAGCAUCACUAUCCUGACUACUGCAUAAUUUAUUUUUAAAUCAAUAACAGCUGUGUUGUCAACAAUAUACACCUAUCUGUAAUCACAUCUUUAAUAGUUUACAGCAGGAAAGAGUUUCCAAUCUUAUGAACAACUAAAUAUCUUUUUAGAAACUCUUCAGGAAUAAUUAUCCAAAUUAAACUUACUUUGACCAUUUUCAUGCAGAAUCAACAAUUACAUGUAAGAUGAACACACACAUACACACACUCACUCACACACACUCACACACUCAUUUCCACUAAUAGUCACUGACUAUAUAUAGCUUUCAUCUUCUGCUGUAUACUUGUGUACUUACUGGGUUCCUUUGAAACUAAGGAGCCAGAGAGGUUGGUACGCUCCUGUAUUCCCAUAACUGUAGAGGUUGAGACAGAAGGAUCCCAAGUUUCAGGCCAGCACAUACUACAUGGUGAGUUCUAAGCCACCCCUAGGUUACUAGAGGUUACUAGUUAGACCUGACCUUGUUUAUGAAAACAAAGCAAAAAAAAAACAUAAUUGAUGCUUCCUUCAUUGCUUUACUUUUCUUGGUAUCUGGAAACGACUGUUACAAAUAUUAAAUUCACAUAUAUAAAUUGUCAGUUUACCCUGUACAGACUUUUACUUUGGAAAAUAUAGUAUAAUUUUUGUGUUGAAUUAUUGUUUUCUUGUUGUAUAAUUUUUUAUUUUUAUUUUUUUCUACUUUUGAUUUUGAGACUGACUUUCAUUAUGUGCUCUGGCUGACCUGGAACUCACUAUGUAGACCAGACUAGCCUUGAACGUACAAUUUUGUUUUCUGAGUACUGGAAUUAAAAGGCUCAUGCUACUAUGACUCACGUAUUUUUCUAUUUUUAUUAAACAAUUACAUAUUUGUAGUUAAACAAGUCAGUUCUUCAAAAUCCUGGGCAAGCUUUUUGAAAUUCUUAACAAGUAAUCUUACUUUCUAAAAGUCUUGUCCAUAUAUGUUCAAGUAAUAAGAGGAGGCUAAAAUCUCAUAGCUGAUAGCUGUGUCAUAUAUGUGUGUAUUUUAAGGCAGUCAUUUUUAUUCUCAUAUCUCUACAAAAACACUUAGGUUGAGACAUGCUAAAUGUCUCUGUAAGACUAAGCAGCUAACAAAUUGCAAAACCAGGAAUUUAACUCAGGAUUAUAACCAGUUUAAAAUGAGAAAGCUUUUAUUGCCUUCAUUAUGCUGUAAUGCUUCACAAUCUAUGAUUACUAUACAAGAGUUUAAAUAUUUAGAAUGAAUUUCACAGAAGCAUAUCAAUUCCUUUCCAGGUGUUUUGCAUUAACCUUAUGCACAGUCAUCUUUUAUUCAUUAUUUGAUUCAACAAAUAUUUAUCAAGUGCCUAAUAUAUACCAGUCAUUUCUCAAGGAGCUAUAUGGUGGCAAUCCAAAGUCUCUAUUCUUACUGACUUCUAAUAGAAAAGGUAGAAAUAACACAAAAACAUAAAAGAUAAUAUGGCAUAAGGUAACUAAAAAAAAAAAGAAGUCACAGUUUCAGUGUGUUAAGUGCUAUGUGGGGUCAAAUUAGGAUCUAUAAAUAACUAUGGAUGAUGGAGAUGCCUAUAAACAUCACCUUUUUAGAUAAAGACAUAAAAUAAUAUACUUUUAACUGUACUCAGCUGAGCCAAACUCCUGGAAUCCAGUUGUAGAGAGGGAGGAGUAAUGAGCAAUGGAAUCAAGACCAGGCUGGUGAAACCCACAGAAACAGCUAACCUGAACAAGGGAGCUCAUGGUCCCCAGACUGACAGCUGGGAAACCAGCACAGGACUGAAUGUGGGUGUUAGUUAGGAGGUCUGGGCAGUCUAUGGGGCCUCUGGUCAUGGAACACUAUUUAUCCCUAGAGCAUGAAUGGAAUUUGGGAGCCCAUUCCCCAUAUAGGGAUACUCUCUCAGCCUAGACACAUGGGGGAGGGUCUAGGCCCUGAUCCAAAUGAUAUGACAG